rnacentral:lncRNA from 1 species
GUCCAGCAGCAGCAGCCAUGGUCUCUCAGCCCUCUGCAUCCUUCCCCCUGGCCGGCUCAGGGUUCCUGAGCACUUUCUCCUUGAGCAGGUCCAGGAUGACCUGUCUCUCCUGGCUCUCCAGCUCGAAGCGCCUCUCGCGCUCAGUCCUCUCGGCCCCGAGCCGCUCGCGUUCCAGGGCGAUCUUGCUCCGCUGGAUCUCCAGCUCCUCGCGUCUCAGCGCCAUCUCCUCCUCGCGCAGGCGCUGCUCGGCCUCCGCCCGCUUCUCCAGGAAGCUCAAGAUCUCCGAGUACGUCUGGCAGCAGCACUGGCAGGCGCGCUUGGCCGUGGGCGCGGGCAGGUCUGCCAGCUCGCCCACCCCCUCUGGGUCCUCUGGCUCUGGGGUCGUGACCUCUGUGGAGGUCAGUGGAGUCACUUCCCCUUCUCCGCCUCCAGCUCCAGCACCUCGUGGAGCAGGUCCUCUUUCUGUGAGUACAGCCUCUCGGUUCCAAACCUGAGUCAAUUAACCAGAGCAAACAGAUAGUAGCGUCACCACGCACCAACACGAAACAUCUGAACCAACAUGUCAGUUAUCCUUCUUUAUCAUUUCAUCUUACAUAUCUCAAAUGUACUUAAAGUCUAGUUAUUCUGGCAGAUGUGAGCAAAUAUAGAAUGGGUCAAUUCUUUGAAAUAUUUUAGUAACUUUACCCAGUAUCUCCAUCGUUGGCCUUUUCAGUUACAUUUCUCUGCAUGAACUGAUUUCCUUUGUAUUACUAAAACUUUAUUAUUAUUAUGAUGAUUAUUAUUAUAAUUAUUAUUAUUAUCAGACUUCAUACUAAGAUUAUGCUUUCAACCAGAUCAUCAAGGUCUGGAUAAGGACAUAAAGGAAGCACGUAUGGUAAGAGGGAGAAGAUCCGCCCUCAAAGACCCAGUGAACACAGUUACACUGCACUGCCUCUAUGACUGAAAGGAGCUGUGAUUUGUACCUCCGCAGGCUGGGAAAGUCCUGCUUCUUGUAGUAGUCCAGCAGCAGCAUGGUCCUCUCGCGACAGCGACGGGCGUCCACCUCAAAGUUCUCGUCCUGUAGCGCGCCUGUGAUGAUCUCGCCCACCCGCGCCCAGAUGCGGCCUGUCUCCUUGGUCUUGAAGGGGUUCUGGGCGAUGACCUCCCGCAGGAGCAUGAUGUCAUGGCGGGCGGAGAAGCGCACCUGCCGCUUACGGGGGGUGGUGGAGGGGCCAGCAAUGGAGAAACCUACAUGUGCGUGUGUGGAGGGGAGGAUUAAGCACCAGUAUUUUCAUAAUAAUAAUAAUAAUAAUAAUACACUUUAUUUGUAUAGCACCUUUCUUUUUAGACUUCGUGGAUAAUAUCUACUUAUUCAAUAGACUGUAACAUAAUCAUGUAAAUCAUUUGUUCAUUGUAAAACAGUCAAAUAUCAAUUAUCAAUUUUCAAACAAAUGACAACUGACUAAUGAAAUGUCAAUUUAGUUUUAGUGAAACACAAAUAGUUGCAUAGAGAUAUGAGACUGGAGACUAACCAUGUUGAUGCAAUAACGCAGUUACAGCCCUUAAAUGUAAUUAUUAUAAAAUUGGAUUAAAUGCUAACAUGUAUGAGGGACGUCACAACAACACACACAACACACACAUGUGGCAACAUAUUCUUAUAUUCCACCCAAGCCCUGUAGUUUAGGUAAAGUGCAACUUCACCCCCAUCUUCAAGCCCUAACCACACCCACUGGUGGGCAAGGGGCAGCGAAGGGCUGAGAGUUUACUCGAUGUAUAUCAUGAUGUAGGUUUGUACCAACCAGUCCAAUCUACGUCAGCAUUGGCCUUGUAUGAUUUUGAACAGUAGGUGGCAUGUUGAGCCAUUUUCAAACCAUAAAAUGAGUUCUAGAAAAAAUGGUCGUUUUGUCAAUAUCAACACUAGCAUUGAUGUGUUUCAUCACAGCACAGUCAUAUCAUUUAGUUUGCAGCUCAAGGAGUGUACACUUCCUCUUUGAGUGUGUCUUUUGAGUUGUAAACUAAAUUAUAUGACUUGUGUACUCUACCUUUUUAAGCUUGUCUUAUUUUGAAAAGAUGUAGCCUAACCCACAGCAGUCAUGAUAAACUUGCCCACAAAACAUGGACACAAGAAUAACAAUCUUGUAAAAUAUUGCAAGACAUGUCCUACAGUCUGCCCCUUUAUUUAUUUAGGAUUUAAAAUGUGGUGCGAGAUGCAUGUGACAUGAACCGCGUUUUGAUGCAGACCCACGAGCAACGUUUCUGCAGCUGCUACGUGUAUUUUGUACCGUGUUGCUGACUGCCGAGUGACGUCGCUCUUUAAUCGGUUUGCCCAGCACAAGUAGACGUUACGUCUGCUCUGCAGAGACUACGCAGUCUGACAAAUAAGCAACUUCUGAGUAUUCACGAACGACCGUGCGUCUGAAACCCAUUACAGAUGUUACAAUUGUUUCUAUUAAGCCGUCGGCUGCUGAAUUUCAGCGAAGACGUGUUAGACGUAGCAGUUUAUAGCAGAAGUCUUACCACUGUCGUUCGGCAUAUCCCCCACACGUUCCAUGACAUCCGGAAUCCGUGAUCAGCUGACACACGGAAACUGCUGAGGUCAUAGUACACGUCCACUCACCAGUACAGGUUACAUUCUGACGUGUAACUCAACUUGUCGGAAAAUCCGGCAUAACUGGAGAUACGCGUCUUUGUACAUUCAAUAACGAUCCUCUAGAGGGCAUGCAAGGACAACAAACAUCUCGGGCCACGUUCCAUUUUACUGAGGCAGGUGGCGUGAGUAGAGAACAAGUUAGUCUUGCAUACCCAAAAACGUAAACAAUGGCAGGUUACACACGCAGAGAGAUGCACUAUUGGUGUGCAAUACAACUUACAAGCAGGUUAUACAGUGACAUUUGUACAUUUCCCGACACAACACACUUGAAAUCUGUGACUAAAGUGCAUGCAUUCAAUAAAGUUAAGAGGCUCAAGUCCA